rnacentral:rRNA from 1 species
UACAGAGGGUGCGAGCGUUAAUCGGAAUUACUGGGCGUAAAGCGUGCGUAGACGGUUAUUUAAGUCGGGUGUGAAAGCCCCGGGCUCAACCUGGGAAUUGCAUUCGAGACUGAAUAGCUAGGGUACGGUAGAGGGAAGCGGAAUUUCCGGUGUAGCGGUGAAAUGCGUAGAUAUCGGAAGGAACAUCAGUGGCGAAAGCGGCUUCCUGGACCAGUACCGACGUUCAGGCACGAAAGCGUGGGGGCAAACAGG